GAUGAACGCUGGCGGCGUGCCUAAUACAUGCAAGUAGAACGCUGAAGUAGGAGCUUGCUCUUCUGGAUGAGUUGCGCACGGGUGAGUAUCGCGUAGGUAACCUGCCUCGUAGCGGGGGAUAACUCUUGGAAACGAUAGCUCAUACCGCAUGACAACUGUUAUUGCAUGAGAAUUGUUUAAAAGGGGCAACUGCUCCACUACCAGAUGGACCUGCGUUGCAUUAGGUAGUUGUUGAGGUAACAGCUCACCAAGGCGACGAUACAUAGUCGACCUGAGAGGGGGAUCGGCCACACUGGGAAUGAGACACGGGCCCGGCUCCUACGGGAAGCAGCAGUAGGGAAAUCUCGGCAAUUGGGCGAAGUCUGACCGAGCAACGCCGCGGGGGGUAAGAAAGGUCUCGGGUCGUAAAGAUCUGUUGAAAGAGAAGAACGAGAGGUGUAGUUGAAAGUUCACGCUGUGACGGUAUCUUACCAGAAAGGGACGGCUAACUACGUG
rnacentral:rRNA from 1 species